rnacentral:lncRNA from 1 species
UAGGUUGGUAAGCCCUAAGGUUAUAGGUGCGUGAGCGGAAUGUGAACUUAUAGCGAUCGCGAAAGUUAAUUAGAUUAGGUCGGAGUUGGUAAUAUGUCUCUAGUUGUGAUUAGAGACGGACUCAAGUCGUAUGAGUUCUUGUCUUGAGGAGGUUGUGUCGGCGGCCGACGACAUGAUACGAAGAGUCUAAAACGAGUGCACUUGUGUGCUUCCGCCCGAUUUUAUGGUUGAGUCGUCAUGUGUCGUAAUGGCGACGAGGUAAUUGGUUAAGAUGA